rnacentral:rRNA from 1 species
UACGAAAGGGGCUAGCGUUGUUCGGAAUUACUGGGCGUAAAGCGCGCGCAGGCGGCUCUGUAAGCUGGGGGUGAAAUCCCGGAGCUCAACUCCGGAACUGCCUUCAAGACUGCAGGGCUGGAGGAUGGGAGAGGUGAGUGGAAUUCCGAGUGUAGAGGUGAAAUUCGUAGAUAUUCGGAAGAACACCGGUGGCGAAGGCGGCUCACUGGCGCGUUUCUGACGCUGAGGUGCGAAAGCGUGGGGAGCAAACAGG